rnacentral:tRNA from 1 species
UCCUCGGUAGCUCAGUCGGUAGAGCAAGUGACUGUUAAUCACUGGGUCGGCGGUUCGAGUCCGUCCCGAGGAGCCA